UACGUAGGGGGCAAGCGUUGUCCGGAUUUAUUGGGCGUAAAGAGCGUGUAGGCGGCCAGAUAGGUCUGUUGUGAAAACUCGAGGCUCAACCUCGAGACGCCGAUGGAAACCAUCUGGCUAGAGUCCGGAAGAGGAGAGUGGAAUUCCUGGUGUAGCGGUGAAAUGCGCAGAUAUCAGGAGGAACACCAAUGGCGAAGGCAGCUCGCUGGGACGGUACUGACGCUGAGACGCGAAAGCGUGGGGAGCGAACAGG
rnacentral:rRNA from 1 species